rnacentral:rRNA from 1 species
GCCAUUACUGACGCUGAUGCACGAAAGCGUGGGGAGCGAACAGGAUUAGAUACCCUGGUAGUCCACGCCGUAAACGAUGAUCACUCGCUGUUAGCGAUACACAGUUAGCGGCUAAGCAAAAGCAUUAAGUGAUCCACCUGGGGAGUACGGCCGCAAGGCUGAAACUCAAAGGAAUUGACGGGGGCCCGCACAAGCGGAGGAACAUGUGGUUUAAUUCGAUGAUACGCGAGGAACCUUACCUGGGCUUAAAUGUAGAGUGCAUGAAGUGGAAACAUUUCUUUCCUUCGGGACUCUUUGCAAGGUGCUGCAUGGUUGUCGUCAGCUCGUGCCGUGAGGUGUCGGGUUAAGUCCCAUAACGAGCGCAACCCUUAUCGUUAGUUGCCAGCGGGUAAUGCCGGGAACUCUAACGAAACUGCCGGUGUAAACCGUGAGGAAGGUGGGGAUGACGUCAAAUCAGCACGGCCCUUAUGUCCAGGGCUACACACGUGUUACAAUGGCCGGUACAGAGGGCAGCUACCUGGAGACAGGAUGCGAAUCUCCAAAGCCGGUCUCAGUUCGGAUCGGAGUCUGCAACUCGACUCCGUGAAGCUGGAUUCGCUAGUAAUCGCGCAUCAGCCAUGGCGCGGUGAAUACGUUCCCGGGCCUUGUACACACCGCCCGUCAAGCCAUGGAAGUUGGGGGUACCUGAAGUCCGUAACCGUAAGGAGCGGCCUAAGGUAAAACUAGUGACUGGGGCUAAGUCGUAACAAGGUAGCCGAAUCGA